rnacentral:rRNA from 1 species
GAUGAACGCUGGCGGCGUGCCUAAUACAUGCAAGUCGAGCGAACAGACGAGGAGCUUGCUCCUCUGACGUUAGCGGCGGACGGGUGAGUAACACGUGGAUAACCUUCCUAUAAGACUGGGAUAACUUCGGGAAACCGGAGCUAAUACCGGAUAAUAUAUUGAACCGCAUGGUUCAAUAGUGAAAGACGGUUUUGCUGUCACUUAUAGAUGGAUCCGCGCCGCAUUAGCUAGUUGGUAAGGUAACGGCCUACCAAGGCAACGAUGCGUAGCCGACCUGAGAGGGUGAUCGGCCACACUGGAACUGAGACACGGUCCAGACUCCUACGGGAGGCAGCAGUAGGGAAUCUUACGCAAUGGGCGAAAGCCUGACGGAGCAACGCCGCGUGAGUGAUGAAGGUCUUCGGAUCGUAAAACUCUGUUAUUAGGGAAGAACAAAUGUGUAAGUAACUAUGCACGUCUUGACGGUACCUAAUCAGAAAGCCACGGCUAACUACGUG